UACGGAGGGGGCAAGCGUUGUUCGGAAUUAUUGGGCGUAAAGGGCGCGUAGGCGGCUUUCUAAGUCAGACGUGAAAUCCCCCGGCUUAACCUGGGAACUGCGUCUGAUACUGGGAGGCUUGAGUAUGGGAGAGGGAUGUAGAAUUCCAGGUGUAGCGGUGAAAUGCGUAGAUAUCUGGAGGAAUACCGGUGGCGAAGGCGGCAUCCUGGACCAUAACUGACGCUGAGGCGCGAAAGCUAGGGGAGCAAACGGG
rnacentral:rRNA from 1 species